UGGGGAAUAUUGGACAAUGGGCGAAAGCCUGAUCCAGCAAUGCCGCGUGAGUGAUGAAGGCCUUAGGGUUGUAAAGCUCUUUUACCCGGGAUGAUAAUGACAGUACCGGGAGAAUAAGCUCCGGCUAACUCCGUGCCAGCAGCCGCGGUAAUACGGAGGGAGCUAGCGUUGUUCGGAAUUACUGGGCGUAAAGCGCGCGUAGGCGGUUUUUUAAGUCAGAGGUGAAAGCCCAGUGCUCAACACUGGAACUGCCUUUGAAACUAGAAAACUUGAAUCUUGGAGAGGUCAGUGGAAUUCCGAGUGUAGAGGUGAAAUUCGUAGAUAUUCGGAAGAACACCAGUGGCGAAGGCGACUGACUGGACAAGUAUUGACGCUGAGGUGCGAAAGCGUGGGGAGCAAACA
rnacentral:rRNA from 1 species